CGCGCGCUCCCAGGGGAACCAGGGCCACCCCCCGCACGGUGCCUGCCUGUUCACCCUGUCGGACGGAGGGGCCCCGAGCGGCCAUGUGCGGCGCGUGUGGUCCCCUCCCUGGGCUGAGUGUGUGUGACUCCAGCUUGCUGUCCAGCUCCUCUGUCCCGCCUCCGGUCGGGGGUCCAGCCACCCUGGCGACCUUCGGGCAGGAAUCCUCAUCAUCAACGGAGGGCAGAAGAGGUGGGCAGGCACGGCUCGGGGCAGCCCUGGCGUGGUAGCAGGAGCAAAGAAUAACCAGAUCGCACCACGGGACACGUUUAUAACAAAAUCUGUAUCAGCUCAGAUCCCUGCAGCGGUGGGAGAAGCAUGCAGAACCAGCGAGAACGGGUCUGUAGGAGACGCGGGGUCUGGUUUUCCUUGCCUCGGGGCCGGCCAGGAGCCAGUGAUGGUGGACGCAGGCACCACCACCAGACAGAGCAGAAGGAUCGAGGCCUGGUUCACCCAGGUGAACCCUGUGCACACCCAGCGUAGGGACCCAGAGGCGCAAUGGACGGCACUAGGAAAGCAAGAAUGUAGUUGUCACUCUCCUCCCCGACUUCCCCCGAAAGUGAAGCCAUGCCCCAGAGGCCGCAGGGCGGGGCACACGCGGCCUUGCACAUCUGUGUGGUCAGGGCCUAAAAGAAAUCCCGUAGUCAUAGACUGUCCGUUUUCAUGAGCGUGGAGAUUACGGCCUGCAGAGCCCGCACACGGAAUUUUCUGGACCGGUAUCAUGCAACAGCAUCGUUUUCGGCCGGGAGGCAGCAGAAAGGUGACCGGGCACAAUGGGCCCCUGGCCAUGUUUCUGCCCUGCAGACACGAGGUGCCUCGCUCAGCAACACGGCACCAGGGCAGCGAGGGACGGGACGUUUGCACACGGACACGUGCCCAGGGUGACCUGGCGAGGCUGUACCCGAUUCCAGCGCUCACACUCACCCACGCUUCCAGUCCCAGGACUUCGUGCCACAAGCGCUCUCGGAGCGUGUGCCCGCGUGAGGCAAGUUCGCUGGAGGGCUGUUGGCACAGCUGGAAGUGACUUCUGCAAAAGGCAGUCAGAAGGAGCUCAAAUGUCCCGUGGUAUUUUUUGGUUAAAAAAAUAAACUACAAAACCAUCUGCACAAG